AGACCGAUAGCGAACAAGUACAGUGAUGGAAAGAUGAAAAGAACUUUGAAAAGAGAGUGAAAAAGUACGUGAAAUUGUUGAAAGGGAAGGGCAUUUGAUCAGACAUGGUGUUUUGCGCCCCUUGCCUCUCGUGGGCUUGGGACUCUCGCAGCUCACUGGGCCAGCAUCGGUUUUGGCGGCCGGAAAAAACCUAGGGAAUGUGGCUCUGCGCCUCGGUGUAGAGUGUUAUAGACCCUGGGGAAUACGGCCAGCCGGGACCGAGGACUGCGAUACUUGUUAUCUAGGAUGCUGGCAUAAUGGUUAUAUGCCUCCCGUCUUGAAACACGGACCAAG
rnacentral:rRNA from 1 species